rnacentral:tRNA from 1 species
GCCUGGGUGGCUCAGUUGGUUUAGCGUCUGACUUUGGCUCAGGUCAUGAUCUCAUGGUUCAUGGGUUUGAGCCCCAUGUCGGGCU